rnacentral:rRNA from 1 species
AACGAACGCUGGCGGCAGGCUUAACACAUGCAAGUCGAGCGCCCCGCAAGGGGAGCGGCAGACGGGUGAGUAACGCGUGGGAGUCUACCGUGCCCUACGGAAUAACGCAUGGAAACGUGUGCUAAUACCGUAUACGCCCUACGGGGGAAAGAUUUAUCGGGGUAUGAUGAGCCCGCGUUGGAUUAGCUAGUUGGUGGGGUAAAGGCCUACCAAGGCGACGAUCCAUAGCUGGUCUGAGAGGAUGAUCAGCCACAUUGGGACUGAGACACGGCCCAAACUCCUACGGGAGGCAGCAGUGGGGAAUAUUGGACAAUGGGCGCAAGCCUGAUCCAGCCAUGCCGCGUGAGUGAUGAAGGUCUUAGGAUUGUAAAGCUCUUUCACCGGUGAAGAUAAUGACGGUAACCGGAGAAGAAGCCCCGGCUAACUUCGUGCCAGCAGCCGCGGUAA